GAUCAGCAUUUUGAACUUAUGCCUCAGGAAGCACAGUCGGUGUCUUUCACUCAGUUAUUGCUUGUGAAGUGGAGCAAAAAAUGAAACCCACUGAGGACUGGGUGGCAGGACUCUGGUUUCUCCCCUGGCUUAGCUGUUGUGCUGUUCUGGAAGGACACAGAUGCACAUCUAACAAAAGCCUCCAAAACAGUUUGCAGAUGACAGCAGGAGAGGCUGGGCAGGAGCGUUGGCAGCACCUGGUGGGAUACGCUGGUAGAGAGCUCCAGCCUUGAAACUGAGCACUGUACAGGUGUGAUGUGUACUCGGGCUCAGGGGGGUUCAGCUCCUGGUUCCAGCCGUGGGAAGUGG